GAUGGACGCUGGCGGCGUGCUUAACACAUGCAAGUCGAACGGUGAAGGCGGAGCUUGCUCUGCUGGAUCAGUGGCGAACGGGUGAGUAACACGUGAGCAAUCUGCCCCUGACUCUGGGAUAAGCGCUGGAAACGGCGUCUAAUACUGGAUACGAGCUGCGAAGGCAUCUUCAGCAGCUGGAAAGAACUUCGGUCAGGGAUGAGCUCGCGGCCUAUCAGCUUGUUGGUGAGGUAACGGCUCACCAAGGCGUCGACGGGUAGCCGGCCUGAGAGGGUGACCGGCCACACUGGGACUGAGACACGGCCCAGACUCCUACGGGAGGCAGCAGUGGGGAAUAUUGCACAAUGGGCGAAAGCCUGAUGCAGCAACGCCGCGUGAGGGACGACGGCCUUCGGGUUGUAAACCUCUUUUAGCAAGGAAGAAGCGAAAGUGACGGUACCUGCAGAAAAAGCGCCGGCUAACUACGUG
rnacentral:rRNA from 1 species